GCAAUGCUCAGGGACUGCGUUGCCUGAUGUAGGUGACAGGAAGAGAGAGAGGUGGUGAGGGGAGGUCUGUGCAGGGCCUCAAGGCCCCUGAAAGGCUGCUGGAGGAGAUGCUGAGCUGCUGGGACAUGAGAAGUACCACCACCUGGAGAACCUCAUAUAUGUUGGAUCAAACUGGAUUCUCCAGGGACCAACAGACAAAGAAAGGACUUUUGUAUAAAUAGCCUGAGUUAACACUGACUCGGGGUCUGCUUUCUGAUCCAGCAAAUGGACAAGACCUUCUAUCCUGGAUAGGAGAGGCAAUCCUUCCUGUGAAGGGGUGGAAGGACUUCACCGUCUCUGAGCAAAACCUGCCUCUGAAGAGAAAGCAGAGCCGAGACACUGGGCAGGCUGGCUUGCUGGGGAUAUCACCGCAAAGGAAGGGAACUGUGUAACCUGGAUAUACCCCAGCCAGGAAGGAGAGCAACGCAGGUCUCCACCCAGGAGGGAUGACAGCUGAGGAAUCUGGAGCGAGAGUAGGUGCCCUUGGUGGACCACGGAGGGGGAAUACAGCUGCAGUUGGCCUGAACUGUGACAGUAAUUAUGAAAGACAAGAACUUUGAAGUUCCGUAGAAUUUAAGAAAAACACACUGGACUUUGCUUGCUUAUUUUCACAGCAUUGGCUCCAACAGACAGUUACUUACCCCAUAAUGGUAAAUAAGCAAGAAUAUGGUAGAGGAAAGCGGUUUAAUUCUUGUUG